UAUUUAUCUUCUUUUUUAUUUUAUCAAUUAUCAAUGCAAUGGGUUUAAGAU
rnacentral:tRNA from 1 species